CUCUCCUGCGCGAGGGAGAUUCCUGGUUCAUCAGCAUGGACGUGUUGUUUUUCCACGUUGGGAGCGCCGUGCUGCCGUGUCAAUCACCCCGAUCCAGUGGGUUCGAGAGCGGCAGGGCUGACGAUGCGGGGCGUGAUUGGCUGCCAUAUGCUGGGAGGGCUCUGGGAGAAGGAAGGGCUGCAGUCCUCCAGCAACAGAGUUUAGGCUGUGUCUUUGCUUCAUCAUCUGAGGAAAAAUCCCCCGAUAAGGCUCAGGGCUUUCUGAGCGCAAGGAAAAUAAAAAAAAUAGAAGAAAAAAAAAAAAAUGGACGGUUAAUCGCUUGGUGUGACAUCCAUUCAUCACAAUGAUGCGAUGGGAAAGGCGCGGCUGUUUGUGGAUGUCAGAUGUUUCUGUUCACAUUGGAAACGUGCCGAAUAGACGGAGCUGAACAAGGUCAGUGAUUUAAAAAGUGCCUUUGUGAAGUCACUUUUAUGGGAGAGGACUGCUACGCCUGUGUUUUCAAAACACUGUCUUUGCCAGCUAGACGUUGCCUUGACCUUACCCGUGGCGGAAGAUACCUCAACUGUCUUGAUUUGCCAAUUAAUUGAUGGGAAACUGAACUCACCGUAAGAGCGGGAAGAAGGAAUUAUUAUUACUGGGACACGAACAAAUGAACGCAUUGCUUUUCUUGUGUAAUCAGUACCAGCAAGCGACCUGCGGCGGACUAAUAUUCCAUCCAAGAGUGCCAUUGCAUUGAAGGACGUGUGCUUGAACCUGGUGCAGCAGUGAUACAGUCAGCAGACCCACACGUUUUACAGACAGAAAUGCUCCUGAGCAUGAUCUUCUUCAGCCAAAAGUCUACAAGCGGGACUUAAUGAUUGAUGAGUAACUGCUCGCUGAUAAACUUUCUCUGUUUAUUCAGUGUUGUGUGAGUUGGACAUCGUUAAUCGUCCUCCCCCACUUUUUUUUUUUU
rnacentral:lncRNA from 1 species